AAGCGGUGGAGUAUGUGGUUUAAUUCGAUGCAACGCGAAGAACCUUACCUGGUCUUGACAUCCCGGAGACCCUUAGGAAACUAGGGGGUGCUUCCAUCUGGAAGAAUCUGGAGACAGGUGCUGCAUGGCUGUCGUCAGCUCGUGUCGUGAGAUGUUGGGUUAAGUCCCGCAACGAGCGCAACCCUUGCCUUUAGUUGCCAGCAGUUCGGCUGGGCACUCUAAAGGGACUGCCGGUGUUAAACCGGAGGAAGGUGGGGAUGACGUCAAGUCCUCAUGGCCUUUAUGACCAGGGCUACACACGUACUACAAUGGCCGAUACAAAGGGCAGCGACACUGCGAGGUGAAGCCAAUCCCGUAAAAUCGGUCUCAGUCCGGAUUGGAGUCUGCAACUCGACUCCAUGAGGUUGGAAUCGCUAGCAAUCGUGGAUCAGCAUGCCACGGUGAAUACGUUCCCGGGCCUU
rnacentral:rRNA from 1 species